rnacentral:rRNA from 1 species
UACGGUGGGGGCAAGCGUUGUUCGGAAUUACUGGGCGUAAAGGGCUCGUGGGCGGCCAACUAAGUCGGAUGUGAAAUCCCCAGGCUUAACCUGGGAACUGCAUCCGAUACUGGAUGGCUUGAAUCCGGGAGAGGGAUGCGGAAUUCCAGGUGUAGCGGUGAAAUGCGUAGAUAUCUGGAGGAACACCGGUGGCGAAGGCGGCAUCCUGGACCGGCAUUGACGCUGAGGAGCGAAAGCCAGGGGAGCAAACGGG